rnacentral:rRNA from 1 species
AGAACGAACGCUGGCGGCAUGCCUAAUACAUGCAAGUCGAACGAACACUUCGGUGUUAGUGGCGCACGGGUGCGUAACGCGUGGGAAUCUGCCCUUGGGUUCGGAAUAACAGUUGGAAACGACUGCUAAUACCGGAUGAUAUCGAAAGAUCAAAGAUUUAUCGCCCAGGGAUGAGCCCGCGUAGGAUUAGCUAGUUGGUGAGGUAAAGGCUCACCAAGGCGACGAUCCUUAGCUGGUCUGAGAGGAUGAUCAGCCACACUGGGACUGAGACACGGCCAGACUCCGUACGGGAGGCAGCAGUAGGGAAUAUUGGACAGUGGCGACAAGCUGACUCCAGCAAUGCCGCGUGAGUGAUGAACGGU